GAUGAAGAACGCAGCGAAAUGCGAUAAGUAAUGCGAAUUGCAGAAUUCAGUGAAUCAUCGAAUCUUUGAACGCACAUUGCGCCCGCUAGUAUUCUGGCGGGCAUGCCUGUCUGAGCGUCAUUUCAACCCUCGCCCCCGGCUUUUGCUGGGAGCGGUGUUGGGGAUCGGCCGCCCGUCACUGGGAGGCCGGCCCCGAAAUAGAGUGGCGACCACGCCGUGUGCUCCUCUGCGUAGUAGUAAAUCACCUCGCAGGCGGACAGCGGUGCGGCCUGUCGUAAAACCCCCAACUCUUUCUGGUUGACCUCAGAUCAGGUAGGAAUACCCGCUGAACUUAAGCAUAUCAAUAAGCGGAGGA
rnacentral:misc_RNA from 1 species